GACGAACGCUGGCGGCGUGCUUAACACAUGCAAGUCGAACGGAAAGGCCCUGCUUUUGUGGGGUGCUCGAGUGGCGAACGGGUGAGUAACACGUGAGUAACCUGCCCUUGACUUUGGGAUAACUUCAGGAAACUGGGGCUAAUACCGGAUAGGAGCUCCUGCUGCAUGGUGGGGGUUGGAAAGUUUCGGCGGUUGGGGAUGGACUCGCGGCUUAUCAGCUUGUUGGUGGGGUAGUGGCUUACCAAGGCUUUGACGGGUAGCCGGCCUGAGAGGGUGACCGGCCACAUGGGGACUGAGAUACGGCCCAGACUACUACGGGAGGCAGCAGUGGGGAAUAUUGCAGAAUGGGCGGAAGCCUGAUGCAGCAACGCCGCGUGCGGGAUGACGGCCUUCGGGUUGUAAACCGCUUUCGCCUGUGACGAAGCGUGAGUGACGGUAAUGGGUAAAGAAGCACGGGCUAACUACGUG
rnacentral:rRNA from 1 species